rnacentral:rRNA from 1 species
CCCUUAGACGUUCUGGGCCGCACGCGCGCUACACUGGCGGAGCCAGCGAGUAUAAACCUUGGCCGAGAGGUCUGGGAAAUCUUGUGAAACUCCGUCGUGCUGGGGAUAGAGCAUUGUAAUUAUUGCUCUUCAACGAGGAAUUCCUAGUAAGCGCAAGUCAUCAGCUUGCGUUGAUUACGUCCCUGCCCUUUGUACACACCGCCCGUCGCUACUACCGAUUGAAUGGCUUAGUGAGGCUUCCGGAUUGGUUUAGAGAAGGGGGCAACUCCAUCUUGGAACCGAGAAGCUAGUCAAACUUGGUCAUUUAGAGGAAGUAAAAGUCGUAACA